GGGGCAGCCCAGCAUUCCUGGGUUUCAUCGCCCCACAAAAUUGAUGGCCCACAAAAGAGCAGUGGCACAACACACAAAAGUGAUGAUGCCGGAGAGACUGAUGCGCUGCGGGCGGUGUUUGACAUCUCCUGGCUGUGGGCUCUUGCUCUGCAACUCCUGAGAACCCAUAAACAGUGCUGAAUAUAAUUCAAAUAGCCUUCGAUACACACACUCCAGACUGCCUUUAAGCUGCCUUGCGAUUCCCUGAUGGCUGCCCACAGCUGCCAUGAGCUACAGCAGCUCUCAGGUUCCCUACAGGAGGUAUUUCUGUACAAAGAUGGACUAGGCUACUGUUGAAAUCAUCUACAUGCUAAACGCAG